CAAUUUUAACUUUACUUUCAUGGCAUUAUUUUGAUUUUUUUUAGAUUUAUGCUUUUCUCCUAUAACCAGAGGAUAGUUAAUAAGCAUGAUUUUUUAAAAAACUUGGGCAAGCGUAAAUUUAAAAUAUGUGUCUGAUUUGAUGCCAAUCCUAAGCCUAAUAGUGCAUGCUUCUCACCGACUUUCUGCAAUCCAACACCAAAAAAGUGACGAAUGUUUUAGUUUCGCAAAAACGAACAUUUUCAUGAGUGAACACAGGAUAGAGUUUUGCAUUGUGAAAAUGCAUACAAAGUUAAAAACUUCUUAUUACUGUAUGCAGAGGGGCGAUCCAUACAUUACGUCGUCAAAAAUUUUCGAUUUUAGCAUCCACCCACCCAACGUAAACAUUAAGGGAUAGGGAAUAAUUUUAACAUGGGCAAGAUAAGAUAGGCCACCGGAAAUCACCCACCCACUAAAAUAAUGACAUUAUAUAUGGACGUUCCCACUUGGGGCAUCGAGCUGCACAUUACGCGAAAUGUGGGAAACGUGCUCUCACAGCUGACGGACGACAAUAAAUAAAUCGGACCUGAAUCCACCGUACCAGUGGAGAAUUCACUCGGAUAAUUAUCCAAUUUUGGACAGGAAGGAUACACUUUAAUACGGAAUAUUUUAAUUUAUAAUUAUCAAAUCUACGUCUGGAUUGAUUAUUGUUGAUGCGAUCAUACCUUCUACUCCUCUGCGAGGAGAGGGUUGAUAGACAUCCAGUAUAGAGUAAAGUCUCCCGUAAGCUAACACAGGCGGUGGUGGUGGACAGGGCAUUCAUAAAGGAUGGGGCAAAAAACUUGGUUAAGUGGACUAGCUCGGAUUUGGCUGAAAUUUUUUGUGUAAAUACCCUAUGGUCCCCUGAGCAAGAAAAUACCGUUUUUUCGAGGCGGUGUCGAAAAAUACAAUUUCUAGAAAUUUUCUAAAUAAAUUAUUUUUUGGGUCAGAUUUUUCUGUAAAUUAUAUUCUAGACUAAUUAAGCUUUGCUGAACAAGAAUAUGAAAGAAUUUUUGACAAAAAUUUCGAAAACAAAAACCUAUAAGGCCAGCUUUGCUUAGUCCGACCGAACCAGGAAUGUUUAAACUCAUGUCUGUAAGAAUUUCCCCUUUCAAUAACAAUUUUGAAAUUUUAGUGCAUAAUACCCCACCCACUCAUAUGACCCCCACUGGUCCAAAUCUUUUCUGAUCGAACCCAUGUUCGAACUCGGUCGUUGCAUGUCUGUACCAAAUUUGGUAGUAGUGCUAGCUAAUAGAUCUAGCUAGGAUAGUUAGAAACUAGAAAUCUCAUCUUACUCCGACAAUCUAAUUUUUCGUCAUAUAUUUUCUUGCCAUGGGAAAAAGUGACACAUAGUCUUGGAAUUCUCUGAACGUCCAAGAAUCACGAUUAACUGACACGUUUCUUUGGGGUGGUGACCCAUACGGUUGCGACAAUUGAAUUAUUUCGAAAUAAAAUUUUCAUUUUUUAAA